GACGAACGCUGGCGGCGUGCUUAACACAUGCAAGUCGAACGGAAAGGCCCUGCUUUUGUGGGGUGCUCGAGUGGCGAACGGGUGAGUAACACGUGAGUAACCUGCCCUUGACUUUGGGAUAACUUCAGGAAACUGGGGCUAAUACCGGAUAGGAGCUCCUGCUGCAUGGUGGGGGUUGGAAAGUUUCGGCGGUUGGGGAUGGACUCGCGGCUUAUCAGCUUGUUGGUGGGGUAGUGGCUUACCAAGGCUUUGACGGGUAGCCGGCAUGAGAGGGUGACCGGCCACAUUGGGACUGAGAUACGGCCCAGACUCCUACGGGAGGCAGCAGUGGGGAAUAUUGAACAAUGGGCGGAAGCCUGAUGCGGCAACGCCGCGUGCGGGAUGACGGCCUUCGGGUUGUAAACCGCUUUCGCCUGUGACGAAGCGUGAGUGACGGUAAUGGGUAAAGAAGCACCGGCUAACUACGUG
rnacentral:rRNA from 1 species